AUGUCCUCUGCCAGCCCCCAGACAAAAGCCCCUGCAGUUGCAGCCAGGGACUCGUUUUGGGGGGCUACACAGAAUGGUGGUGGAGAGCGUGGACCCCGGCACCAGGCUGUCUGGGUUCAAUCUCGGCCCUAUCCCUUACUAAGUAACUCAAUUACUGCUCUGUGCCUGUCUCCCUGUUUAGAAACGGGGGUGGCGAUAACAGAACUGCGUGAGGACCAGACGGACGAGUCCUCCCAGUGCUCGGCCUGGGGCCGGCGCGGCGGAAUCAGAGCAGCUGGAUACAGUCAGCAGACGUCCGCGGAGGACGAGGACACCCUGAAAUCCUGAAUGCUCGUGGAGUUUGCAGACAGGACCUCAGAGCUGGUGGAGGAAAACCCAGGCCAGUCACAGGAUUCACGGGGGCCCCGAGAGAAGCCGCUGAGCCACCACAGCCCCAGUCUAACGCCCUCUGCCGAGAAGGAGGUGUGGUUCUGUAUUCCGCUUACACAGCACUUUUUGGGGGCUCGUCCCCGUUGCCGUGGCCUCUCCACCUCACAGGCUCCAGGGACUGCCACCGGCCAGGAGUCUUGCUUCAUCAACCUUUUCCUUCAUUGUGAACUUGUAUGCUCCUGUCCUGCUGGAUUCCUCGUUCCGAUCCUCCCGGCAUAAGAGUCUCGGCCAACCCUUGAAAGGUGCUCUUUCUCUGUGGCCCUCAGCUUAGCGAGUAAGCCCCUCCAGCAGGACCAUCACACCCCUGCUGCACAGAGACCCAGCAGCGGAGGGAGGCAGCAGCAGAGUGCUGCCCUGGUCCCGUCCACAAACCCUGGGAGAGGUAAGAAAGCCCCGCAAACUGCACAUGGAUCCUACAACAGCAGCCUCGAAACCACCUGUGAUUAAACCAAGAUGUCAGAAUCAAUAUGCAAAGGGUGUGAUUAAAAGACAAGCGUGGCUGGCACCAGAACGUCACUCUUCAUUGAGCCUGUGCCUACACUUUUACACGCGACAAAGAAAUUAAUGACAGCCUGAUAAACCUUCAAGAAAAAUUAAUUACCCCUGCGGCUCGCCCCUCCCCUGUGCUCUCUGUUUAGCCUGCGCUCUCCUGCCCACCCCCACCCAACCCCUAGAGGGGUCCCGGGGCUGCCGAUUACACACUCGGGGCUGCAGCAUUCACAGCGCACCCAGCUGUGGAGGCCCCUCCCCGGGCUCUGGAUGAGUAUGUUUUCUGGCCCCCUCUGCAGAGAGGCAGCCAUGACGACAGCCCGAUGAGUCAACCCAGAGCGCUGGGGGUGGGGGGCUUGCUGCAGAGGGGGCAGAAGAAGGCAAUAGCGGGGUGGAGUCUGCCCAGAGU
rnacentral:lncRNA from 1 species